CAACCUCACGCCCCCGCGCCGUUCCUCCUGCAGAUCGAGAAGGAUGGAUAUAUCAUGAGCAAACAUCACCGCUUCCCUUCCUCCAUGCGCCGCCGCUCCAUCCUUCCCCUCCUCCUCGCGCCGCCCCUCUUUCUACCGUCACCACCCCCCAUCGGCGCCCUCCGCAGCCUAGCUGAGCCCCUUCGCCCGUGGACGUGUUCCGGCGUCAUCCCGCUACAGGUUGUCGUACCUCUGGAGGUGCGGAGUGGUGGUGGAGGCGAGAGGAGAGGCGCAGGAUCUUGGCCUUGAUGUCACCGAUUUCGACGUGGGCGGUGUCUUGCUCGCGUCCGGGUGUCGGUGGUUCGUGCCGUCACCGUACCACCAACAAGGAUGACACCUGAUGGCCUCUCCCUGAGAACCGUCUUUGCUUCGCCGAUGUAUCCCACCUGCGCCCAAUGUUGAGGUCUUGAGGGUGUGAUUCCUAGUGAGAAGGACCGCCGUCAGGCCACAAUGGACUUCACACCUCCCAUUUUCUACUGUUCUCGCAUGCACGUACUGUUACCUAGAGCAGAAAGCAUAUAGAGAUUAUAUUAGUAUAGAUGUAUAGAAGUCAUGAUGAUGGACUAAGAUAAUUCUGUUGCACAAUACUAUGCACUGAGAUUCAGUCAUGGCAUUUCUUGUCAGUAUCGCAUGAACAUGAUAGAGACUGAUCAAAUAAAUGGCACUUGAUUUCAUCUACUUAUAUUCUUCAGGGCAUGUAAGCAAGCGGUGCAUGAAAGCUGAUACUUGCAAUCUGUUUGCGGAAUCUGGCAGUGUUUCAGUCCAAGAAUGAGAAUCAUGUGAUUGCUGAUCGACUAUGCAGCUUGUUUAGGCAUCAGCGUCUCUACUGCUAUCUGGGAUUGGAGGAAAGGCAGCUCGAAAAACUAAAGCACUAAUGAAGCAACAAGUGGAAGUCCAAUUCAGAAAGAAGUAGUUUGUUCUAUAUACUAGAUUGGACAAUGUUUUUCCGCUGGAAGUCUAUUGCUGAAUCUUAAAUCAAGAGGAAGCUAUCUAACUUUCUUCUUAAGGAGCCGGGAAGUUUCGCCAAGCCACUACAGUGGGCAAGAGAUCAGCUAAUUCAUUUGAGCCGGGGAGGCGACGGCGGCGGGGAGCAGCGGCACAUCGGCGGACAGCAACACAUGUGUAGCACACAGCGGCAGCGGCUGCACGGCCACGACGGACAAGCAACAACGCGAAGCAGGGGCAGGUGGUGGUAAGAAUAAGUAUCACUUGUCAUGUUUAACUCAUGGCCAACAAAGAGUAAGUAUCACUUGAAACUCACUACAUGAAGAAUACUGCUGUGACGAUUAUCUACAUAUAUGUUCCACUUGGUUGCUCAGGUAGUAUUAAUUUCUAAUUUCUUAUCACUUCCUUUUUCUUGCAGUCAAGUUUUGAAACUGGGCUUUGAUGAGAAGUUCAUUCGUAUAUGGGAAUUCUAUCUUGUAUACUCUGCCUCUGGUUUGAAGUCAUGAGUAGCUAGAGAUUACCUGGUACGGAUGCAUAUAUGUGUGCUCUUUGUAUAGGUUUACCUGCAUUAUUCCUAUUUCCUAAACAAAUGUAAGUCAUAUACUCCCUCUGCCCUCUGGUCUUCAAAAAACAUCUUUCUGGAAACUGUUUGGUGGUUUCCAAUGCAGACUAUAAAAUUUAAGUUGAUGUUGCUUUCUACAAUUAUGUUAAUCUCAGCCAUAAGAUUCUGAGAUCAGUCGACAACAGAUCUUUGAGUAAAAAGUAGUAAAUUAGAACCUUUGGUGAACUUGCAGAAAACAAGCUUUCAUCGUUUGAGAUUGUAAAUGACCUGAGACAAACCUGGGUCCUUUACAUUCUUAUUUGAUAACUUUGAAUCUUUACGUCUUCUGUAUAUAUAUUUCAGCACAUUUUGUAUCAACUGAUAACUUUGAAUCUUUGCGUCUUUCAUCAGAUCAUGCUUACUGUUGGAUUUGCACAUGAAUAACUAAAAGCGCCAUGACAUUACGUAUUUCCUUCAUUUUAGCCAUUAAACUCAUCUAUCGAGUGUUAAUUUAGUAUGUUUUCUUGUCCUGAGUGUAUAUUCAUCUUAGUUAGAAAGGUCUUUGAGUGGCUUUGGUCAUCCUAAAUUUUGUGUGGAUUCUUUUUCCAAUCCUGUUUAGCUUUGCCUAACAAUAAUUAUUAUAGCCCUUGAUGUGCACAUGCCCAAUUUCCCCAUAUUGUAUAGUUUCCCAUUCUAUAAUGGCAACCUUUCUGCACUGCUAAGAUGUAAGCACGACUACAUGUUUAACUCAUGUUUAAUAUUGUCAGAACUAAGCAUAUGGUAGAGAAAGGGUUGCUUGCAUGCCAUCCAUGUCAUCGAGAAAUUGUAGAAUUCCCUCUCCCCAUUUCCUUACCAUGAAUAUAACGCUUUAUCGACCUGUUUUUAGCUUUUAGAUGUUCUGCAACUAUAUACACAAUAGAUACUGGCUGUCUGAACUGUAAUUCCACUCCAUGAGAAGCUGAGAUAAAGUAAGAACGGGGCAAAGAAAUUCCGACUCUUUCUGCUCGCAGGCGGGGCCUGCUAUGACUCCCAAUGGGUGGUAUUACUGCAACUGUCGAUCCUUCAAAUUUUGACGAUAACAAGUAGCCUGAAUCCAAGAAGAAAACUAAUUCAAUUCUCCCAAGACUGCUAAUUUUUGGGUUUCUUUGUUCCAACUUUGCAUUGACACCACUUGGACAAUGUUUGUGUUCCUUUGCUUUUCAUCAUGAAAACAAACAUUCUGAAAUCUUCAUAGGAUAUUUGAUUCCAUUUUUACUAUACAAUAGAGUAAAUAGGCUACGUCCUUACAUUCUCCGCGGAGAAGUUAUCCAGCCAGUCGGUUGCCAUUGAUUUGUGACAUUUUUUUAUACAGUUGUGAUUCCCGUGGUCUGCUUGUUAUCGUCAAAAGAUAAUUGAUGGGUUUUUACUUCUCCUUUUGUUUAUAGAGAAUGGGUCAUCCUAGAGUAUGAAUUUGACAUGGUUUGAUUGAGACGUGCGUUGCACGUGCACGUUUACUAGUAAGAAUAUAAAGAAGAGAGAAAAAAGUCUAGGGCGUCGCUGCUGUUGGCCUUCGACAUGCUGGGCUGCUGCUGCGCUGUGUCACGUGCAUGAGCGGCCGAAAGGAACUGGGCCACCGGGGUAGCUGGGUAGGAUUAGAGUAGAAUAGGUUUAUGAUUUUCUAUUUAUUUAUUUUAGGUACAGAAAGGAUGUUAGCUCCAAAGAUGAUCAAAAUCAUUUUAUAAA